rnacentral:rRNA from 1 species
UACGUAGGGCGCAAGCGUUGUCCGGAAUACUGGGCGUAAAGCGUGCGCAGGCGGUGAUGUAAGACAGUUGUGAAAUCCCCGGGCUCAACCUGGGAACUGCAUCUGUGACUGCAUCGCUGGAGUGCGGCAGAGGGGGAUGGAAUUCCGCGUGUAGCAGUGAAAUGCGUAGAUAUGCGGAGGAACACCGAUGGCGAAGGCAAUCCCCUGGGCCUGCACUGACGCUCAUGCACGAAAGCGUGGGGAGCAAACAGG